GAUGAACGCUGGCGGCGUGCCUAAUACAUGCAAGUCGAGCGAACAGACGAGGAGCUUGCUCCUCUGACGUUAGCGGCGGACGGGUGAGUAACACGUGGAUAACCUACCUAUAAGACUGGGAUAACUUCGGGAAACCGGAGCUAAUACCGGAUAAUAUAUUGAACCGCAUGGUUCAAUAGUGAAAGACGGUUUUGCUGUCACUUAUAGAUGGAUCCGCGCCGCAUUAGCUAGUUGGUAAGGUAACGGCUUACCAAGGCGACGAUGCGUAGCCGACCUGAGAGGGUGAUCGGCCACACUGGAACUGAGACACGGUCCAGACUCCUACGGGAGGCAGCAGUAGGGAAUCUUCCGCAAUGGGCGAAUGCCUGACGGUGCAACGCCGCGUGAGUGAUGAAGGUCUUCUGAUCGUAAAACUCUGUUAUUAGGGAAGAACAAAUGUGUAAGUAACUAUGCACGUCUUGACGGUACCUAAUCAGAAAGCCACGGCUAACUACGUG
rnacentral:rRNA from 1 species